UACGGAGGGUGCAAGCGUUAAUCGGAAUCACUGGGCGUAAAGCGCACGUAGGCGGGUAUUUAAGUGAGAUGUGAAAGCCCCGGGCUCAACCUGGGAAUAGCAUUUGAUACUGGUUGGCUUGAGUAUGGUAGAGGGGGGUGGAAUUCCACGUGUAGCGGUGAAAUGCGUAGAUAUGUGGAGGAAUACCGGUGGCGAAGGCGGCUACCUAGACAUAGACUGACGCUGAUGCACGAAAGCGUGGGGAGCAAAUAGG
rnacentral:rRNA from 1 species